GGAUCAAGACCGAGAACUCCUUGCACUGUACAAGCAGCCAAGUGUGGAAUGGGCAUGUCCAGUGACAUGUAAACUUCAAGGAGAUGUUGCUGUUGGUGAAGGAGUGACAAGAUACUUCUUUUCAGCAGUUAUUCAAAGACUUAAAGCUGGCUUCAGUAUUAACCUAGGAAAUACUGAAAGGACUUGCCUAUUUGAAGGUGAGCCUGAUCAUCUGGUCCCUUCAUCAUCCCAAUUCCUCACUGAGGGUGA